AUGGCGCGCCCCAGGAAACACCGAUCCCGGAGGAGCCCCCAAAUGAAAGAUCCCCGAAGAGACCCUUAUUUAAGUCUCGGGAAGUCGCGGACCCCAGACACAGAGAGACCA
rnacentral:pre_miRNA from 14 species